rnacentral:rRNA from 1 species
CCCUUAGACGUUCUGGGCCGCACGCGCGCUACACUGACACAGGCAACGAGCUUUCCUUUACCGAAAGGUAUGGGUAAUCUUUUGAAACUGUGUCGUGCUGGGGAUAGAUCCUUGCAAUUUUUGAUCUUAAACGAGGAAUUCCUAGUAAGCGCGAGUCAUCAACUCGCGUUGAUUACGUCCCUGCCCUUUGUACACACCGCCCGUCGCUACUACCGAUUGAAUGGCUUAGUGAGGCCUCAGGAUCCGCGCUUAAUGUGUGGAGAAUUUGGACAAACUACGUCAUUUAGAGGAAGUAGAAGUCGUAACA